rnacentral:tRNA from 2 species
GGACCUGUGGCGCAACGGUAGCGCGUCUGACUCCAGAUCAGAAGGUUAUGUGUUUUAAAUCACAUCGGGUUCA